rfam:Saccharomyces cerevisiae Vin13 chromosome XIV, whole genome shotgun sequence.
UACCAAACCUUUUUGUCAGGGUGCUUCUCUAUCCGUUUUAGGAUAAACUUAUCUACAGAAGUGUCUGUUACUGUUUUGGAAGAGUAAUACUGUUCGCUUAUCCAUAUUUCCCCGUUCUGGGGAAGCCUCAUGGGUAAAUUAGAAGGACAACCUUUGUUUUAAAGGUAUACCUUCGCUUUUUAGAACAGCGAGGAUCUUAUGAGUUGAGCUUUUGUUAYUUGAGACUUUAUCUCGGGCUCCAUACAAUAUGUUCGUAGUAAAGAUCCUCACAAUU